CGGGGGGGGCAAGCGUUGUUCGGAAUUACUGGGCGUAAAGGGUUCGUAGGUGGCCGACUAAGUCAGACGUGAAAUCCCUCAGCUUAACUGGGGAACUGCGUCUGAGACUGGCCGGCUCGAGGGCAGGAGAGGAACGUGGAAUUCCAGGUGUAGCGGUGAAAUGCGUAGAUAUCUGGAGGAACACCGGUGGCGAAGGCGGCGUUCUGGACUGCAUCUGACACUGAGGAACGAAAGCCAGGGGAGCAAACGGGAUUAGAUACCCCGGUAGUCCUGGCCCUAAACGAUGAAUGCUUGGUGUGGCGGGUAUCGAUCCCUGCCGUGCCGCAGUUAACGCGUUAAGCAUUCCGCCUGGGGAGUACGGUCGCAAGGCUG
rnacentral:rRNA from 1 species